CUUGGGCUGCUUCCACAUUCUGGCUGUGCUGCUGAACGCUGCCAUGUAUAUGAGUAUACAAAUACCUGAACCUGCUUUUUAUUUAUUUAUUCUUUUUAAAAAUAUAUUUCAGACAGAGAGAGAGCAGAGGUGUGGAGGGAUAGAGGGAGAGACAGUCUCAAGCAGACUCCAUGCUGGGCAUGUCAUCUGAAAUGGGGCUCUAUCCCAUGACUCCGAGAUCACAACCUGAGAUGAAAUUGAGAAUCAAACACUCAACCAGUUGUGUCACUCGUGCACCCCCGAACCUGCUUUUUAGAUGGACAGCCCAGACUUCAUUUAAGAUGCUGAAAUAAACUCUAAUUGAAUGCACCAUCUGGAAACAUUGAACUACAUGGAGAAAGCAGUGGGAUCAAUUCACAUCAUCCUCCACACCCCCACUGGACGCAGAUACAGUCCCAUUCCAAGGACUAAGAGCAUGCUGAGCUUUGGAUUCUCUUUUUUUGUAAAGCCCCGUCACUACAACAUUCAAAAGACGUGUGAAAAUGUACGUAACAUAUAUGGUAAAGCCAUCUAUGUUGACAUAAAUGGAUUCCCUGGCUUGUCCGAGGGCACACACAGAGUGCCGGAGGAAGGGUGUGAGUUCAGUGCCUCUGACUUCUGGUGUUACCCACUUGCUGCUAACAUUUCCUUCUCAUUCGUGGCUGGGCAGAGACUCCCCCAACUAGACUCAUAUCCUGAUUGCCCAGAAACAGGUUAUACUACUCACCUGGGCAAAGCAGAUGCAAAGAUUAUUGCAAUCAUCUGUUGAUAGAGGUCUUUGACCAGCAGAGAGAAUGCAGAGCUAGUGCGGGACAAGUUGGUGGAAUAUAACAGUAAUGCCAAGAUUCUGGGGUUGGAGGGUCUCUUUGAACACAGGAUUCAUCACAUGCAAGUUGUGCAACCUUGGACAUGGAACUUAACCUACUCAUGCCUCAGUUUCCCCAGCUAUACAGUGGGGGUAAGAAAAGGGGCUGUAGGGGUGCCUGGGUGGCUCAGUCAUUAAGCGUCUGCCUUCGGCUCAGGGCGUGAUCCCGGCGUUAUGGGUUCGAGCCCCGCAUCAGACUCCUCCGCUGGGAGCCUGCUGCUUCCUCUCCCACUCCCCUGCUUGUGUUCCCUCUCUCGCUGGCUGUCUCUAUGUCAAAUAAAUAAAUAAAAAUCUUUAAAAAAAAAAAAAGAAAAGGAGCUGAGUGCUGGAGUUGUUUUGAAGAUUAAAUGAAUUCUCAUUUGUGAAGGUCUUGAAAGA
rnacentral:lncRNA from 1 species